UGCAGAUACAUUAUGAAAAGUCUGUACGGUUGACAUCAUUUUAAUUAUUUAUCUCUAUAAGAUAUGAACGUAGAUUUUCACCGGUUGUAAAUAAAAAUGAAAAUUCGAAGUCAAUUCAUUUUCGUCGUCCUUUUCGUUACUUUGCCAAUGUUUGUUGGGCAAAGUUACUCUUUCCAAAGUGUUUCUGAAAGUGAAACGGCUGAGGCCCAAAUCGUUAAACGAGGAGUUUUCGACUGUAAUACAAAAAAUUGCUGGGGCAGCAUUGAAGUACGUGAUCAUAAAUGUUCAAACAAAGAAGAUCGAUAUGUAACCAAACGAUAUCUUAUUUGCUACUGUUGCAGAGACAGUCAAAAUGAAAUUUAAUGAAAAUAAUAUUCUGUAAAUAAAGGUGGAAAUUCUCACAGAA